ACCUGGAUAGCUCAGUUGGUUAGAGUGUGGUGUUGAUUAACGCCAAGGUUGCAGGUUCAAUCCCCACAUGGGACU